UACGGAGGGGGCUAGCGUUGCUCGGAAUCACUGGGCGUAAAGCGCACGUAGGCGGCUUGCUAAGUCAGGUGUGAAAUCCUGGAGCUCAACUCCAGAACUGCCUUUGAUACUGGAGAGCUUGAGUCCGGAAGAGGUGAGUGGAACUCCGAGUGUAGAGGUGAAAUUCGUAGAUAUUCGGAAGAACACCAGUGGCGAAGGCGGCUGACUGGUCCGGUACUGACGCUGAUGUGCGAAAGCGUGGGGAGCAAACAGG
rnacentral:rRNA from 1 species